UACAUGGGGUGCAAACGUUGCUCGGAAUUAUUGGGCGUAAAGCGCGCGUAGGCGGUUACUCAAGUCGGAUGUGAAAGCCCUCGGCUUAACUGAGGAAGUGCACCCGAAACUGAGUAGCUAGAGUACUAAAGAGGGUCGCGGAAUUCCCGGUGUAGAGGUGAAAUUCGUAGAUAUCGGGAGGAACACCAGUGGCGAAGGCGGCUUCCUGGACUAAUACUGACGCUGAGGUGCGAAAGCGUGGGGAGCAAACAGG
rnacentral:rRNA from 1 species